rnacentral:rRNA from 1 species
AUUGAACGCUGGCGGAAUGCUUUACACAUGCAAGUCGAACGGCAGCACGGGGCAACCUGGUGGCGAGUGGCGAACGGGUGAGUAAUACAUCGGAACGUGCCCAAUCGUGGGGGAUAACGUAGCGAAAGUUACGCUAAUACCGCAUACGAUCUACGGAUGAAAGCGGGGGAUCGCAAGACCUCGCGCGAAUGGAGCGGCCGAUGUCAGAUUAGGUAGUUGGUGGGGUAAAGGCACACCAAGCCAACGAUCUGUAGCUGGUCUGAGAGGACGACCAGCCACACUGGGACGGAGACACGGCCCAGACUCCUACGGGAGGCCGCAGUGGGGAAUUUUGGACAAUGGGCGCAAGCCUGAUCCAGCCAUUCCGCGUGCAGGAUGAAGGCCUUCGGGUUGUAAACUGCUUUUGUACGGAACGAAACGGCUCUCUCUAAUACAGGGGGCUAAUGACGGUACCGUAAGAAUAAGCACCGGCUAACUACGUGCCAGCCGCCGCGGUAAAAC